rnacentral:rRNA from 1 species
GACGUCCUGCCGGUGGCGGUCCGGGCUUUCGGCUUUGUGUAGGUUCUCCGAAGCAUGCCGUUAGUUCCGGCCGCCGAUUCAAUCCCGCCGCGGUGCUCUUAACUGAGUGUCGAGGUGGGCCGGCACGUUUACUUUGAACAAAUUAGAGUGCUUAAAGCAGGCUGAUUUCCGCCUGAAUACUGUGUGCAUGGAAUAAUGGAAUAGGACUUCGGUUCUAUUUUGUUGGUUUUAAGAAUCCGAAGUAAUGAUUAAUAGGGACAGGCGGGGGCAUUCGUAUUGCGACGUUAGAGGUGAAAUUCUUGGAUCGUCGCAAGACGUACCUAAGCGAAAGCAUUUGCCAAGUAUGUCCUCGUUAAUCAAGAACGAAAGUUAGAGGUUCGAAGGCGAUCAGAUACCGCCCUAGUUCUAACCAUAAACGAUGCCAGCCAGCGAUCCGCCAAAGUUCCUCCGAUGACUUGGCGGGCAGCUUCCGGGAAACCAAAGCUUUUGGGUUCCGGGGGAAGUAUGGUUGCAAAGCUGAAACUUAAAGGAAUUGACGGAAGGGCACCACCAGGAGUGGAGCCUGCGGCUUAAUUUGACUCAACACGGGAAACCUCACCAGGCCCGGACACCGGAAGGAUUGACAGAUUGAUAGCUCUUUCUUGAUUCGGUGGGUGGUGGUGCAUGGCCGUUCUUAGUUGGUGGAGCGAUUUGUCUGGUUAAUUCCGAUAACGAACGAGACUCUAGCCUGCUAACUAGGCGUUUCCAGUAUCCACAAUAGUGCUACUGGCGAAUAAAUUUCUUCUUAGAGGGACAGGCGGCUUCUAGCCGCACGAGACUGAGCAAUAACAGGUCUGUGAUGCCCUUAGAUGUCCUGGGCCGCACGCGCGCUACACUGAAGGAAUCAGCGUGUCUUCCCUGGCCGAAAGGUCCGGGUAACCCGUUGAACCUCCUUCGUGCUAGGGAUUGGGGCUUGCAAUUGUUCCCCAUGAACGAGGAAUUCCCAGUAAGCGCGAGUCAUAAGCUCGCGUUGAUUACGUCCCUGCCCUUUGUACACACCGCCCGUCGCUACUACCGAUUGAAUGAUUUAGUGAGGUCUUCGGACUGGUGCGCGGCGAUCGCCUCGUGUGGUCGCCGA